GUGCCGUCCUGUGGCUAGCCAGAAGCCGCGGAGGGGAAACUCAUGAUCCACCUUGGCUGAGUAGGAAACAGGAAGAAGCUUGGAAGGGGUUGUUAGCUGGAGGCUAGCCUACUGGAGAUCAUUAGACUGAGAAUCAGAGAUGAUCACUCACAGGCUGGGAAGAGGGCUGACAGCUAGCAGACAAGGUUCUGGCAGGCAGGGAAGCAGACUAGGACCACAAGAAGAAACUCCACCCAAAGGUCCUAACCAACCAGCAGAGAAUCACAGAUAUUCGUAUGGUUAUUCCACAGCAGUCUGAUGUUGGUUUCACAUGAUUUCAUCACUACUGUGGGUCAUGGUUUCAAAGCUGGUUGAGAACAUAUACAGCGGAACCGAAGCAGUGCUUAUCGGCUGGUCAAGACUGUGACGUCUGUGACGGCCCCAAGAGGUCUUGGUGUGCUGUCUGUGUUUCUUCCUGCAGGCAAUUAAGGAGAUUGGGAGCACCUUGCCAGUGAGCCCAACCUAUUUAGGCCUGCCUGCCCAGACGCCAGUGUCGGUGCUUGCGCCUGCCACACCGCUCUGCUACGCUAGUCUUUUGUUUUAAAUAAAUUUACAUUAAUCUUUGUAAACCUGAGUUGCAUCCUCCUUCUUUGUUGGAGCCUGAGAGCCGAGAUCGUAACAAAUUGGGGGCUCGUCCAUUUUUGAAUUUCUGGUAGGUUUAAUUUGGUUAACCUUAUUUAGUAACUUGUUGCGUUCUAGGAGUUUUUGUUUGGAGGAUGAGCUUGAGCAGGUUUUGGAUCACAUUUAAAAAACGUUUGCGAUUGUGGUUAAGGAGCUGGUGUUGUUUCUUUUGCUGUUGAGAGAUUAUGAUAGUAUGAUUUUUGUAUUACUCAGGGUAACCACUAGUAUUGUGUUUUCUUAUAUUAUAUUAUAUAUCGUAAAGUUUCUAGUUUCUAGAUUGAGAUUGAUAGAGUGUGCAAGGGAUGAGUUGGUUAAAAUAUCUGACUAUUACAAGGUUGAUGUUGGCGAUAGGAGGAUCAAGGAGACAGCAAGAGCAAAUUAAAAAAUUUAUUUGUUAAAGAAGAAAGUACUGGGCACCACAGAGGGUCAGUUUUCUGCAAGUACUGAAGGUUCGCCUAUUCAGUUAAUGUCUCCUGGAUCUGAUUUGAAUUUUGAGCAGCAAAAAGAGUUACUAGUGUUACGUAUUAAGUUAGAGACUGAGAAAGAAGUUGCAGUGGAGAAGAUGCGUCAGGGCAUUGAGUUGGAGAAAGUGCUGUCUCUUGAAAAAAUUAGAUAUGAAACUGAACAGGCAAAGCUUGACUUACAAAAGCAGAAAUUGACGUUGAUUAGAGAGGGGAAGGUUAUAGCGGAUGUUCUGCUGAUAAUCCAUCUGUGGCAGAAAGCAGCAGGCAGUCUGAUUUGAGGUUUGUUCCCAGAUUUAAUGAAAAAGAUCCUGAAACUUUUUUCUCAAUUUCUGAGCGUUUAGCUGAGGCACAGGGGUUAAUGUUGCAAUGCGUGUUAACUGGCAGGGCCCAGGAGGCUUAUGCUUCUUUGAGUAACAGUGAUUGGUUGAAAUAUCCUGUGGUAAAAUCUGCUGUCCUUAAGGCGUAUGAACUGGUGCCUGAAGCGUAUCGCCAACGGUUCAGAGGUUGGAAAAGAGGUGAUCGGUCGCAUUUGGAGUUUGCUCGUGAUUUGCCCUCUCAAUUUGAUCGUUGGUGUGGUGCAGCUGAGGUAAAUACUCACGAGGCUCUGCGGGAUCUGAUGAUCUUGAAGCAGUUUAAAAACUCCGUACCGGAGCGCAUCGCCAUCUAUAUUAGUGAAUGGAAGGUGAAGACUGCAGCUGAAGCUGCUGCUUUAGCUGAUGAUUAUGUUUUGACUCAUGGUGGAGGCAGUGGAUGUCCUACUUGAAGGUUUGAACACAGCGAAAAUCCCUCUGCUGGAGGUGUGUGGUCUGUUUCAGGAAGAAAUUUUGGGUGAGAGCAGAACGAACGCAGUGCGUAUGUACCAGACAAAAUUUGUAAUGUCAUAAACAAGGCCAUUGGAGGAGAGACUGUUAUUCUUUCAGGUCCAGAACCAAGCAGGCUGGAGCUAAUGGUAACCCGAAGCCAGUGAUGUUUGUUGCACCGGUUACUGAGCAGGUGACUGAGACUUUGGGUGGUGAGUUAAAACCACACAUAUCUAACCUGGAGCUGCAGUCAUACUUGCCAUUUAUUUCAGAUGGUGUUUUUUCUUUAGUAGGGAGUGAUGAGAAAGUGCACAUAAAAAUAAUGCGUGACACUGGUGCUUUUGAUUCAUUAGUUUUAGCGUCAGCCUUACCAUUUUCAAAGGAGACCAGCAUGGGUUUGUAAAUACAGUACCUGGGCUUGGAAUGGGCAUGAAUAUUCUGCGUGUACCUCUGCAUAAAAUGAUGUUGUCCUGUGAUCUGUUUCAGGGGGAGGUGGCAAUUGCCAUGCGUCCAGCUCUGCCAGCGGUUGGUGUUACCAUGAUUUUGGGUAAUGAUAUAGCAGGUAGUCGGGUGUGGGCCGAUGUUGCAACCCCGGCUAUCGUUGCUCCAGUUCCCCUGGUGAGCAGUGGGCCUGAUGACAAGGACACUGAGUUUCCAGAGGUGUUCAGGGCUUGUGCUGUGACACGUGCAAUGAAACAGGCAGAGUCAGAUAAGGCAAGUUCCACCGAAAAUGAAAUAACAUGUCCUGAUGUUCCCUGGUGUGAGCAGCGGGCUGACUGUUCUCUUAAGGGUCUGCUGGUCUGCUGGAGACUCCAGAAUGAGGUAUUGAUGAGAAAGUGGGUGAUUCAAGGAGAGCAUUUUGUUGGUGAACCUGUUUACCAAGUGUUGGAGAUUUCCCACGAUGAGUCUGGCCAUUUAGGCGUCAGAAAGAUGUAUGACCGCAUCCUGAGGUAUUUCUUUUGGCCCAGACUAAAGAGGUAGAUUUCUGCUUAUAUAAAGUCUUACCAUACAUGCCAGUUAACCAGCAAACCCAAUCAGAGUUUAAAACCCGUCCCGCUGUGUCCAAUACCAGCUAUAGGUCAGCCUUUUGAACAUCUAAUUACUGAUUUUGUGGGCCUAUUACCGCCAUCUAAAGGGGGUGCGAGUUAUCUUCUAACAGUGAUAAUAAUAAUAAUAAUAAUAAUGUGAUGUGCCAGAGCACAAGGUACCCACCCGCGUUUCCGUCACGCACAAUUACACAGGUCUGUGGUAUGUGCGAUACCAUGGAAAAUGGAACCAGCUGAAUUAUUCAGUUAUUGAAAAGGAAACAUUAGCUCUGGUCUUGGAUUUGCAGCAUUUUCAUGUGUAUGUCAGUUCUGUGCCUGUGGUGGUCUUCACAGAUCAUAACCCUUUGACCUUUCUUAGUUCUUUGCAGUGUCCUAACCAGAGGCUGGUUCGCUGGGCCCUUUUCAUGCAGUCCUACAGCCUGGACAUUCGCCAUAUUAAGGGGCGGGACAAUGUAGUGGCAGAUGCAUUGUCUCAGGCCAUUGAUUAAUGUUUGAAUCUGGGUUGUAUUCAGUUGCUCUCUGCUUGUCCCCAUCCUCCUAGGUCUUCUUCUUGUCCUCUUAAAUUCAGCUUCCAGGAUCCAGUUGCUGGGGAUGGAGGGGAGGAAUUAGAGGAUUUGUUGGGGCCAUAUGCGGUGAGGUAUUUUGUUUUGUUUGCAUUUACUUGGUGGUUGUUAGCCAGGGUUACCUUUGGGACCCUGACUACUUGGGCAACACCAAGACCGCCUCUGUACUGUGUGCUGUCUGUGUUUCUUCCUUUUUUAAUUAAGGAGAUUGGGAGCACCUUGCCAGUGAGCCCAACCUAUUUAGGCCUGCCUGCCCAGACGCCAGUGUUGGUGCUUGCGCCUGCCACACUAGU